rnacentral:misc_RNA from 1 species
CGCCAUUUGUGUAGUACGAGUUUUGAUAAUUUAUGAAAAAGAAUUUGAUCCCAAAAAUAGUUAAGAAUGAUAAAAUGCACCAUCUGUGAGAACACAUACUGAAUAACACGUCAUAAUGUUUAUCAAGCAGGUGAUCAUCCAGGGAUUCAGAAGUUACAGAGAUCAGACUGUGGUGGAUCCAUUUAGUCCUAAACACAAUGUCAUUGUUGGAAGAAAUGGAUCUGGGAAAAGUAACUUCUUUUAUGCCAUCCAGUUUGUAUUGUCCGAUGAGUUCAGUCACAUGCGACCUGAACAGAGACAAGCUCUGCUUCACGAGGGAACUGGACCAAGGGUGAUUACGGCCUUUGUGGAAAUAAUCUUUGAUAACUCGGACAACAGAAUUCCGAUCGAAAAAGACGAGGUUGUCCUUCGAAGAGUUAUUGGUUCCAAAAAAGAUCAGUAUUUUCUUGACAAGAAAAUGGUGACGAAAACGGAUGUGAUGAAUCUUUUGGAAAGUGCUGGAUUUUCUAGAAGUAAUCCUUACUACAUUGUUAAACAAGGAAAAAUCAAUCAAAUGGCUACUGCUCCAGACUCGCAGCGUCUAAAACUUCUAAGAGAAGUGGCUGGAACUAAAGUGUAUGACGAGCGGAAAGAAGAGAGUCGAGUUAUUCUGGUGGAAACAGAGGGAAAACGAGAGAAAAUCAAUGAUCUGUUGAAGUACAUUGAAGAACGUCUCGACACUUUGGAGAGUGAGAAAGAGGAACUUAAAGAAUAUCAGAAAUGGGACAAAAUGAGAAGAUCUCUAGAAUACACGAUCCAUGACCAUGAGUUGCGAGACACCAGGAAGAAACUGGAUGAUCUAACCAACAAACGAGAGAACAGUGGAGCUCAAGCACAGAAGCUGCGAGACUGCCAGCAAGAAGCAAAUGACAAAGUUAAGAGCACAAACAAAGAUUUAAAGGAGUUAAAAACUCGGUUACAUGCGAUACUGGAAGAAAAAGACCAGCUGGGUGCUGAAAGCCAGGAGCUGACGAAGAAGAAAGCUAAACUGGAACUGAACAUAAAGGACAUACAGGACGAAAUGGAAGGAAACAAUACUGCUAAGAAAAAGGCUGAAAUUGAACUGCAGAAGGUGAAUGACAAAGUGAUGAAAACCCAGGAGCAGUUGGAGUCUAUAAUACCUCUGUACGAGGGGCAGCGGGACAAGGAGGAAAAUGCAUCACAGCAGCUUGCUUUAGCCGAACAGAGGAGAAAGGAGCUCUAUGCUAAACAAGGUCGGGGGAAUCAGUUUACCUCUCGAGAUGAUCGAGAUAAUUGGAUUAAGAAGGAACUGAAGUCGUUAAACAAAGCCAUUAAAGACAAAGAAGAGCAGAUAAAGCGACUGAAGGAAGACUCGGGUCAUGACGAACAGAAGGAAGGCCAGCUGACAGAAAAAAUAGAGGAAACCACAGCAAAAAUUGACAUGAACAAAGAUAUUAUUGAGCAAAACAACAAGACAUUUCAAGAAAUGAAAAAACAGAAAGACGCCCUUCAGAAUGAAAGAAGUGCGUUGUGGAGACAAGAAAACACCCUGCAGCAGACUCUGGCCUCCACACGAGAAGAGCUGGCCAAGAAAGAACAGGGACUUCGGUCACUCACGGGAAAGGCGUUGCUGAAUGGCAUUGACAGUGUACAGAAAGUUCUACAGUCAUUCAGGGAUCAGGGCAAAUACAUGGAUGUAGUUAAUGGUUACCAUGGUAUCCUUAUUGAAAACAUGGAAGUGGAGAAAACAUUUUUUACCUGCGUGGAAGUCACAGCUGGAAGCAGAUUGUUUCAUCACGUCGUUGACACCGACAAGACAGGAACAAAAAUUCUUCAGGAAAUGAAUAAAAUGCGACUGCCAGGGGAGGUAACCUUCAUGCCACUUAACCGACUGGAUACUCGGGAGACUCGCUAUCCAGAUUCAAGUGAUGCCAUUCCCAUGAUAAGCAAGAUCACGUUUGAGAAUUCGUUCGACCCUGCUAUAAAGCACGUGUUCGGAAAGACUUUGAUCUGUCGUAGCAUGGAAGUUGCAACUCAGUAUGCCAAGACGCAGAACCUCGAUUGUAUCACACUGGAUGGUGACCAGGUGAGUCGCCGUGGUGCCCUGACUGGCGGAUACUACGACACACGGCGGUCCCGUCUUGACAUGCAGAAGAGUAAACUGGAGCUGAUUGCCCAGCUGAAGCAGCAGGAAGCUGAGUACGCGGAGCACCGACAGAAACUGGAGGUCAUUGAAAGCCAAAUUAAUAACCUCGUGUCCGAGAUGCAGAAGAUGGAGACGAAGAACAGCAAAAAUAAAGACAUCUUUGACAAAAUGCAAGCUGAUGUUAGAUUAGCUAAGGAAGAACUAAAAGGCUUGCAAAAGAACAGACCUUCAAAGGGUAAGAGUGUGACCAGUCUACAGAGCAGUCUGGAGGCGAUGCAGGCCACGGCUCACUCGCUGAAGGAGGAGCUGGGUUCUGAUCUGUUGUCUCAGUUGUGUAUCGAGGACCAGCGGGAGGUGGAUCACCUCAAUGACACGAUCAAACAGCUCACCCUUCAGAACAGGGAGGCCUGGCAGGAGAGAAUCAGGCUGGAAGGAGAGAAAAAUAAACUUGAAAAUUUAUUGAACAAUAACUUGAUGAAGAAGCGAGACCGAAUUCAACAAGAUCUACAGGAGGUGUCCAUCGAAGAGAGAAACCAGAGACUGGAGAACUUGACAACUGAUCUUCAGACGGUCAACCAGCGAGUCCACGAGCUGAAGAUUCAAACAAAAGAACUUGAUGAACAAUUGGAUCGCUUGAAUAAAGAUCAGAAAGAAUUGCAAAAUCAGCUUGAAUACUGGAAGGGUCAAGAGAAAGAAAUUCAGGAUAAAAUAGGAGAUGAUGCGAAAGAACUGGAAAAAAUGUCAAAUAAGCAAAGUCUUUUACUCAAAAAGAAAGAAGAAUGUAUGCGUAAGAUACGUGAACUUGGAUCACUACCAAGUGAUGCUUUUGAGAAAUACCAGGACAUGGGCAGCAAGCAGUUAUUUAAGAAGUUAGAGCAGUGUAAUCAGGAAUUAAAGAAAUAUAGUCAUGUUAAUAAGAAGGCACUUGACCAGUUUGUCAACUUCACAGACCAGAAGGAGAAACUGAUCAAACGAAAAGAGGAAAUUGACAGAGCAUACGAUUCAAUUAUAGAUUUAAUGAAUGCACUGGAUCAUAGAAAAUAUGAAGCAAUACAGCUGACAUUUAAACAGGUGUCAAAGUAUUUUACUGAAAUAUUUAAGAAGUUGGUCCCUGCUGGACAUGGGGUGCUUGUCAUGAAGAAAGGAGAAAGUGAACAGGAGGGUGUCGACUCACAGACCCCGGCACAAGAGAUUCCCCUGGUAGAGCAGUUCACUGGUGUUGGAAUAAAGGUUUCCUUCAGUGGAAAUCGUGCCGAGAUGCGUGACAUGCAGCAGUUGUCUGGUGGACAGAAGUCACUGGUGGCCUUGACCUUGAUAUUUGCCAUUCAGAAAUGUGACCCCGCUCCUUUCUACCUGUUUGAUGAGAUUGACCAGGCUUUAGAUUCGUCUCACAGAAAAGCAGUUGCAGACAUGAUUCACGAAUUGUGUCAGGACGCACAGUUCAUCACGACAACCUUCCGUCCUGAGCUGCUGCAGCAUGCCGACAAGUUUUAUGGUGUUAAGUUUAGAAAUAAGGUCAGUCAUAUAGAAUGUGUGAGUCGCGAGGAAGCUGAAGAUUUCGUUGAGGAUGACACGACUCAUGGCUGAAAUUACUGUAUCAGUGCACAGGACAGUGGACAUUACAAUAUACAUAAAUGGUUGACAGUACUAUUUAAAUAUACAGAGAAUGGUUGGCAUCAUUAUAUAAAUAUAUGGCGAAUGGUUGACGUUACUACUGCAGAAACAUUUGCAAUGGACUUAUUUACAUCACAGCAUAAAUGCUUUUGCAGUAGAUAUUGGAUAAUAUAUUGCAAAACACUUUUGCAAUGAGUAUCUGUUAAGUUGCAGCAUAAAGUCGUUAUCAAAUACUUGAUUUUGUGGUAGAACCAUGUGUGCGUGACAACCAACAUGUCAUUUUCAUGCAUGCACACACAACACCAGGGCUCGAAACGGUCUGUGGCCAGGUCGCCAAAUGCGACCAGUGUCCUGUUUGGGCGACUUGAAUAUUAAAAAAUAAUGGCAUUUAGUCGCCCAAAUAAUACUAUUAUUUGAGUGAUCUACUUUAGAUCUAUAGCAUAUGAGCCACUAUUAAUAUUUGUAUUGCAUCUAUUUAUUCCACAUUAAAAUCUUGUUUGUGGUUCGCUUAUCGUAAUUUGCCAACAUCCAUUAUUUUUUUUUGCCACCGUAUGUUUUGGCAAGUUUCGAGCCCUAAACACACACACACACACAAUAUACAAAUGGUUUAAAAUGUGGAAUUUUAUUAUAGUGAACUUGUUUGUUAUAUCUUCUUGGUGUUUAACAUUGUGUAUCUUAAUACACAGUAAGACUUGCCUAACAGAAACUUUAAAACAAGCAGUGGUAUGCACGUCAUGUAUGAAGACACUUUAUAGAAAGGUGGGUGUUGAAUAAAAUAUUCUAUAUAGCAGCCCCAGCUUCAGCCAGCUGACGUUUGCAAACUAUUUGAUUGGUUGCCAUCAUAGCCAUUUGGUUUACUGUGAAGUGCAUAAACCAGUCUAGUGGAUGUUUUUCUGAUGUCAUAUCCAUUUGGUUUACUGUGAAGUGCAUAAACCAGUUUAGUGGAAGUUUUUCUGAUGUCAUAUCCAUUUGGUUUACUGUGAAGUGCAUAAACCAGUCUAGUGGACGUUUUUCUGAUGUCAUAUCCAUUUGGUUUACUGUGAAGUGCAUAAACCAGUCUAGCAGAUGUUUUUCUGAUGUCAUAUCCAUUUGGUUUACUGUGAGGUGCAUAAACCAGUCUAGUGGAUGUUUUUUCUGAUCAGUCUGGCUGAACUCGGCCCUGGUUCCACUGUGUGUGAUAAAAUGUUGGAUGACCAGGGGAAAAAAAGGACAAAAAUCAAUUUAUUCUGUAACUGUCAGAAGCUGAUGACAGUGAUAUGUUUACUACAACUACAGCCAAGUAUUUCUCUCUCAACAAUACGUGCCCAGAGUGUUUCGAACAUUACUUGCCACUUUUCAAGUUAACUUUUCAAAUAUUAUGGCCAACAUCAAUGUUACGGUUUACGUAACAUAAACUUAUCCUACCUUUUGCCUGUCCUUUAAUAUUAUUACUAAAACUAUAUGAAAUAAUAAUUAGAUACAAUAUUAAUUAAUAUUAUAGCAGUUAUAAAGGAGUGUAACAUUGGAGAACCUUUUGUUUAGCAACCCCAUUUGAUAACAACCUCAUUUGAAUGCAAUAUACUUAGGGGUAUUUGUCAUAAUGAAUGCAAACCAGUUGUUAGUGAAUUAUGUAUUAUUCUUCUGUGGGGUAACCUGCAUAACCCUGUUAAUAUGUUAACAUAUGCUAUAAAUAGAGACUAUUAUACAAGCUUGUGUCGUACUGAUUUACAAAACGAGUAUCACGAUUAUUGUAUUACCCGAGCGAGUGUAAUAAUUCUUUAUUAUUCACAUUAUUCAAAAUAUUAUUUUCACGAAUAACAAGCUUAGGACCAUGUCAAAAUGUUUCAAACGAAACUAAAAAGAGACGGAAAAAUUACGUUAUUUUGAUUAGCGUUUACACUAGGGAAGCUGCAUUAAGUUAUGACAUCGGUUCACAAAAUAAUGUCAUUAGUUGUGCUCGUGAAAUCAUUAUGACACACGUGGGUCAUACUGGUUACAUUUUCCUGAAUAUAUGUGGAUAAUAAAAUGUUUCUGAUGGAUAACACCAAUAUGUUACUUGGUGCUGACAGAGCUAACAGAUUAAAUGUUGUUUAACUAUUGUGGGUGUAUUUAUAUUGAUGUAAUACUAAUACUAUAGCGGGAUUAAAAUUUUACCACAGCACUGAUGGCAAGUGCCAUUAUUACCUUUCUUACUUUGCCAAAAAUUGGACAUUGCCGAUGGCAAGAAAAAUGCUGUGGUGCCCUAGCAUGAAAUCAUUUUUGUUCGAGAACACUUGAAAGGAAAGUUGCUUUCAUUCCCCUAUUUUUGCAGGUAAUAUGUUUGCCUUGGUGCCCUAAUAUUUGUAAUUAAAUGGAUGGCUACAGUUGCUGUGUCCCCCAAAAGUUAAAAUGCAAACCCUGGUUGUAGUACAUUUUAAUAGAAAACUGAUGUGGACAAAUUCAGAUCAUGCCAUUUUAUAAGGGGAAUUUGGUAGUGAAUGAAAAAAUCAGUAUCUUGAACACAUAAUCUGCAAAAAAAAUUAAUGUUUUUGAAUUUUUCCAACUCUUAUCUUUUAUUGAUGUUUGAACUAAAGUAACAAAAAAGGUAUGCUUUUUUUUAAUGUUUCUUUUUUGUUUCACUACCUAAAAUAGUGUUACUUAAAUAUUGCGGUCUUAUAUAAUGUGUAAUAAGGUGAUAUAAGUGAAUUAAAAUCAUUCAUUUUUAACAAAUUUGCGUCCUGUGUCUGAGAAAAGAUUAUGGUACAUACACACGGGAAAGUAAUAUUAAAAUAAUUUUCAUGAAAGAGGUAACAUUUUUGCUCACACAUGCAAAUAAGUAUUUACAUCAAGUAUUUGCUUUAUGUAUUAAAUUUUCUUCAACUUGGUGCUACAUCAUUACAAUGGCAAAACCUGUUUCACAAUUCUACCAUGAAAUGAAUAUUUUAUUGUGCAUUUUAACACUUUAAUCAUUCUAAUUUUAGAUUAAUUCUUGUUAAAAAUAAAGCGUGUAGAAUAGAAGUUUUGACAAUGGAAUUUAAUGUUUGUGUUCUUUUGUUAAAUCCCAUUGAGGAAAACGUCUUGAACAAAGUCAUGAUCAGAAAUGGUGAUAAAUGUGAUUGGGGCUGUCAUUUUCUAGACAAACAUUCACUCGUAAAUCAAAUUGUGUAUUUUAAUGCAAUCAUUGUUAGGCGACACAAAAUGUCCGAAUACUGUAGGACAAAUCAUGAAUAAUUAAUACACAAAAAUAAGGUUUUACAGUAUUCUGAGUGCUGUAUCACAGGCUGCCAGAUUUCACGAUAACAAUCUUAUUUGUGGUAGUAUGUUGACAAAAUCACGAAACUGAAAGUCCAUUAUCAUAUAACAAUUACCAUGAAAAAUGGUUUCCAAUUUCGUUAAAUGAUCAUAGGGCAUGAAUUGAAAAAGUAUUCACUAUAAAAUUUUAAAUUCUGAGUGUGUGUGUUUCAUGAAGAAAUCUGAUGACAUUCUGUCUCAGUUUCUAGUGCUUUAAUCAUCAGAAAAAAACCAACGUUUUGCAUAAGUUUUAAUAGCUGUACAUCUUAUCCACAAAACAUCAUCUUGCAUACAAGUAAACAUCAAUGUUGUAUUAGUGUUGUACAUUUCUUCAAGUACAUCUAUUGUACUUUUAUUGUAAAUUUUAAAUUAAUUCCAUGUUUAAAUUUAGCUGUUCAUAUGUUGUUAUAAAACAUUUUAACACCAUGAAUUUUAUCCAGAUACUAUGUAUUUUUCUUCAUGCUGGGGUGUCGUUAAACAUUCAUUCAUCCAUUCUAUCCAGAUACUGGUAUCAUUUGUUUCUAUUGUUUUCAUGUACUUAUCUUAGUUUGCCAUCCAAUAGUUGAUGUGUUUUUCAUUAAACAUUCAUACAUUCAUUCUGUCUAGAUAAAGUCUUUUAGUCCAUUGAUGUUACGGCAUACAUUGUAAAUAUAAUAAAGAUUUUUGUUACUUAGAGAAUAACUAACGAGCUACGAGGAAUUACGGAUUAUAUGUCCCGAGUGAAUUAAUGUUGUAAUGUUACAGCAUUAAUUCACGAGG